rnacentral:siRNA from 1 species
UUCCAUUUCAGUGAAUAAGU